rnacentral:rRNA from 1 species
UACCAGCACCCCGAGCGGUCGGGACGAUUAUUGGGCCUAAAGCAUCCGUAGCCGGUUUUACAAGUCCUCCGUUAAAUCCAACUGCUUAACAGAUGGGCCGCGGAGGAUACUAUAAGACUAGGAGGCAGGAGAGGCAAGCGGUACUCAGUGGGUAGGGGUAAAAUCCGUUGAUCCAUUGAAGACCACCAGUGGCGAAGGCGGCUUGCCAGAAUGCGCUCGACGGUGAGGGAUGAAAGCUGGGGGAGCAAACCGG